rnacentral:rRNA from 1 species
UACGGAGGGUGCAAGCGUUAUCCGGAUUCACUGGGUUUAAAGGGUGCGUAGGCGGUUUGGUAAGUCCGUGGUGAAAUCUCUAAGCUUAACUUGGAAACUGCCAUGGAUACUAUUAGUCUUGAAUAUUGUGGAGGUUAGCGGAAUAUGUCAUGUAGCGGUGAAAUGCAUAGAUAUGACAUAGAACACCAAUUGCGAAGGCAGCUGGCUGCACAAAUAUUGACGCUGAUGCACGAAAGCGUGGGGAUCAAACAGG